rnacentral:rRNA from 1 species
UACGUAGGGUCCGAGCGUUUGUCCGGAAUUACUGGGCGUAAAGAGCUCGUAGGCGGUUUGUCGCGUCUGCCGUGAAAGUCCGGGGCUCAACUCCGGAUCUGCGGUGGGUACGGGCAGACUAGAGUGAUGUAGGGGAGACUGGAAUUCCUGGUGUAGCGGUGAAAUGCGUAGAUAUCAGGAGGAACACCGAUGGCGAAGGCAGAUCUCUGGGCCACUACUGACGCUGAGAAGCGAAAGCAUGGGGAGCGAACAGG